GAUGAACGCUGGCGGCGUGCCUAAUACAUGCAAGUCGAGCGAACAGAUGAGGAGCUUGCUCCUCUGACGUUAGCGGCGGACGGGUGAGUAACACGUGGAUAACCUACCUAUAAGACUGGGAUAACUUCGGGAAACCGGAGCUAAUACCGGAUAAUAUAUUGAACCGCAUGGUUCAAUAGUGAAAGACGGUUUUGCUGUCACUUAUAGAUGGAUCCGCGCCGCCUUAGCUAGUUGUUAAGGUAAAGGCUUACCAAGGCAACGAUGCGUAGCCGACCUGAGAGGGUGAUCGGCCCCCCUGCAACUGAAACACGGUCCAGACUCCUCCGGGAGGCAGCAGUUGGGAAUCUUCGGCGAUGAGCGAAAGCCUGACGGGGCAGCGCCUCGUCAGUGAUGAUGGUCUUCGGAUCGUAAAACUCUGUUAUUGGGGAAGAACAAAUGUGUAAGUAACUAGGCACGUCUUGACGGUACCGAAUCAGAAAGCCACGGCUAACUACGUG
rnacentral:rRNA from 1 species